CCUACGGGAGGCAGCAGUGAGGAAUAUUGGUCAAUGGCCGGAAGGCUGAACCAGCCAAGCCGCGUGAAGGACGAAGGUGCCAAGCAUUGUAAACUUCUUUUGUCAAGGGACAAAAUCAGGCUCGAGAGCCUGACCGAGGGUACUUGAAGAAAAAGCAUCGGCUAACUCCGUGCCAGCAGGCGCGGUAAUACGGAGGAUGCGAGCGUUAUCCGGAUUUAGUGGGUUUAAAGGGUGAGUAGGCGGACGGUUAAGUCAGCGGUAAAAGCCCGGGGCUCAACCCCGGCGAGCCGUUGAAACUGGCUGUCUUGAGAUGUCGAGAGGUAUGCGGAAUGCGCAGUGUAGCGGUGAAAUGCUUAGAUAUUGCGCAGAACUCCGAUUGCGAAGGCAGCAUACCGGCGGCGAUCUGACGCUGAGGCACGAAAGCGUGGGUAUCGAACAGGAUUAGAUACCCUUGUAGUC
rnacentral:rRNA from 1 species